GCACCGGUGCCCGAGUGGCCCAAGGGGACGGCCUGCAAAGCCGUAAAGCCGCGGGUUCAAAUCCCGCCCGGUGCUCGA
rnacentral:tRNA from 2 species